rfam:Oryza glumipatula chromosome 7, whole genome shotgun sequence.
AAUAAAUGCAGUUUUGCACUAUUCAUCUCCAACGUUUGACCGUUCGUCUUAUUUAAAAAAAUUUUAUAAUUAUUUUUUUAUUGUUAUUAGAUGAUAAAACAUGAAUAGUACUUUAUGUGUGACUAUUUUUAAAAAAAAAUUUCAUAAAUUUUUCAAAUAAGACGGACGGUCAAACGUUGGAAACGAAUUUCCACGGCUGCACUUAUU